rnacentral:rRNA from 1 species
AGAGUUUGAUCAUGGCUCAGGAUGAACGCUGGCGGCGUGCCUAACACAUGCAAGUCGAACGAGAAGCUAACUUCUGAUUCCUUCGGGAUGAUGAGGUUAGCUCGAAAGUGGCGAACGGGUGAGUAACGCGUGGGUAAUCUACCCUGUUUAGUGGGGGAUAACCCUCCAAAAGGAGGGCUAAUACCGCAUAAUAUCUUUAUCCCAAAAGAGGUAAAGAUUAAAGAUGGCCUCUAUUCUAUGCUAUCACUUCAGGAUGAGCCCGCGACCUAUUAGUUAGUUGGUGGGGUAAUGGCCUACCAAGACCACAAUGGGCAGCCGGUCUUGAGAGGAUGUACGGCCUCACUGGGACUGAUGAUACGGCCCAGACUCCUACGGGAGGCAGCA